GCACACUCCUGCCGGUGUGCAAGGAAGCCGUUGAUCCUAUUAUCUGUUGCCUGAUCAGCAGAAAAGGCAGAUUGGCGGCUGAAGGGGAGGGUUAAGGGAGGACUCAGGGAGAGGAGGACUCGAGCAGCUCAGUGUAUACUAGAGGGGGAGUUAGUAGAGUUUUAGAAGGUAUGUUUGGUGUUGUCAGUGUAUACUAGAGGGGGAGUUAGUAGAGUUUUAGAAGGUAUGUUUGGUGUUGUCAGUGUAUACUAGAGGGGGAGUUAGUAGAGUUUUAGAAGGUAUGUUUGGUGUUGUCAGUGUAUACUAGAGGGGGAGUUAGUAGAGUUUUAGAAGGUAUGUUUGGUGUUGUCAGUGUAUACUAGAGGGGGAGUUAGUAGAGUUUUAGGAGGUACGUUUGGUGUUGUCAGUGUAUACUAGAGGGGGAGUUAGUAGAGUUUUAGGAGGUAUGUUUGGUGUUGUCAGUGUAUACUAGAGGGGGAGUUAGUAGAGUUUUAGGAGGUAUGUUUGGUGUUGUCAGUGUAUACUAGAGGGGGAGUUAGUAGAGUUUUAGGAGGUAUGUUUGGUGUUGUCAGUGUAUACUAGAGGGGGAGUUAGUAGAGUUUUAGAAGGUAUGUUUGGUGUUGUCAGUGUAUACUAGAGGGGGAGUUAGUAGAGUUUUAGGAGGUAUGUUUGGUGUUGUCAGUGUAUACUAGAGGGGGAGUUAGUAGAGUUUUAGGAGGUAUGUUUGGUGUUGUCAGUGUAUACUAGAGGGGGAGUUAGUGGAGUUUUAGGAGGUAUGUUUGGUGUUGUCAGUGUAUACUAGAGGGGGAGUUAGUAGAGUUUUAGGAGGUAUGUUUGGUGUUGUCAGUGUAUACUAGAGGGGGAGUUAGUGGAGUUUUAGGAGGUAUGUUUGGUGUUGUCAGUGUAUACUAGAGGGGGAGUUAGUAGAGUUUUAGGAGGUAUGUUUGGUGUUGUCAGUGUAUACUAGAGGGGGAGUUAGUAGAGUUUUAGGAGGUAUGUUUGGUGUUGUCAGUGUAUACUAGAGGGGGAGUUAGUGGAGUUUUAGGAGGUAUGUUUGGUGUUGUCAGUGUAUACUAGAGGGGGAGUUAGUGGAGUUUUAGGAGGUAUGUUUGAUGGCACAAUUUGAUUGGCUGCUGUCUGAUUCAAAAUUGAAUUUGUUAAAUGAAGAGUUGAUGCGCUGCACACUUUUUUAAUAGCAUCAUUUUUUAUAUUUGGGCUUGGGGAGGUUUUCAAGCCCAAACCGAGAUCUACAGGUCUAACCCUCCUUCCUCCUCCCUCCCUUCCACCUACAAACAGGACUUACUGACACCGCUAUCACACACCAGCACACCCGCAUCCCUCUUUCACUCUCUCUCUGUCUCAUUCUUUUUCCCUCUUUCUCUCCUCCCCCUUCCAUUCCUCUCCAUUCUUUGUCUCGUGAAAAUUAAUAAACAAGGCAAAUACCCGUCACCCACAAAGCAAACCAAUACAGAUUGUAGGCCAGUGGGUGUUCUUGUAUUGGGCUCUGCUUAAGGUUAAAUAUCUUUAAUCCAACCAGGCUGGAAAACUAAAUAUUCUCCCUAGCCAAAUCCUCUUUCUGCCCCCCCAACACCCCCACCCCUCCUCAUACUCCACCCUCCUCUCUUUCUCUAUUCUCCCCUUAGUCUUCUCUCUCUUUAUAGUUGCCCGCUCUUCACUUUGGGGCAAGACGUUAGUUGUUUAUGCUCUAGUUAAUUUAUUCCCUCUUCACUUUGGGGCAAGACGUUUGUUGUUUAUGCUCUAGUUAAUUUAUUCCCUCUUCACUUUGGGGCAAGACGUUUGUUGUUUAUGCUCUAGUUAAUUUAUUCCCUCUUCACUUUGGGGCAAGACGUUUGUUGUUUAUGCUCUAGUUAAUUUACUCCCUCUUCACUUUGGGGCAAGACGUUAGUUGUUUAUGCUCUAGUUAAUUUAUUCCCUCUUCACUUUGGGGCAAGACGUUUGUUGUUUAUGCUCUAGUUAAUUUAUUCCCUCUUCACUUUGGGGCAAGACGUUUGUUGUUUAUGCUCUAGUUAAUUUAUUCCCUCUUCACUUUGGG